rnacentral:rRNA from 1 species
GACGGAGGGUGCAAGCGUUGUUCGGAAUUACUGGGCGUAAAGGGUUUGUAGGUGGCUUGCUAAGUCAGACGUGAAAUCCCUCAGCUUAACUGGGGAACUGCGUCUGAGACUGGCAAGCUUGAGUGCAGGAGAGGAACGCGGAAUUCCAGGUGUAGCGGUGAAAUGCGUAGAUAUCUGGAGGAACACCGGUGGCGAAAGCGGUUCGCUGGGCCUGACCUGACGCUGAGGAGCGAAAGCGUGGGGAGCGAACAGG